rnacentral:rRNA from 1 species
UAGGGAAUCUUCCGCAAUGGGCGAAAGCCUGACGGAGCAACGCCGCGUGAGUGAUGAAGGUCUUCGGAUCGUAAAACUCUGUUAUUAGGGAAGAACAAAUGUGUAAGUAACUAUGCACGUCUUGACGGUACCUAAUCAGCAAGCCACGGCUAACUACGUGCCAGCAGCCGCUGUAAUACGUAGGUGGCAAGCGUUAUUCGGAAUUAUUGGGCGUAAAGCGCGCGUAGGCGGUUUUUUAAGUCUGAUGUGAAAGCCCACGGCUCAACCGUGGAGGGUCAUUGGAAACUGGAAAACUUGAGUGCAGAAGAGGAGAGUGGAAUUCCAUGGGUAGCGGUGGAAUGCGCAGAAAUAUGGAGGAACACCAGAGGCGAAGGCGACUUUCUGGUCUGUAACUGACGCUGAUGUGCAAAAGCGUGGGGAUCAAACAGG